AUCUUCAUUGUAUUUAAUUAUACAAAGAAGAACCCAAAAUCGACGGCCCAGGCAUCUACAGUUGGCAGAGUUGGAGAUUCGCAGAUUGACAACCAGAGCAAGGGAAAUUCACUGAGGAGAAUGGUCCUCCCCUUCCUCCUCUGAGGAGCCUCCACUGAUGGGAGUCAUUUUCCAAUCAUAGCCCCACCAGAAAGGGCUGGCACGUGGUGGAUGGGAAGGGGCUGUUCUGGGACCUGUUCGGGUCCUCAGGCAGUCAUAACUGUGGGAGAGGCUUAGUGAAGGGCUGCUACUUGACAUCAGCAGAAGAGAGGUGUGCGGGAAGGAGAUGGGCUGCUACAUCAUUAUGGAUCCAGCCUACCCACUGCAGCCGUGGCUGAUGAAACCGUUCGCAGACACAGGCCAUCUGACUCCGGAACAGCAGAAGUUUAACAGUUUGAUCUCUGGGGCCAGGGCUGUUGGGGAGAACACCUUUGGGCGACUGAAGGGCAGGUGGCGCUGCCUCAUCAAGAGAAACGACAGCAGUCUCAUGCUCACAAAGCAAAUGCUGUUGACAUGCUGUGCCCUCCACAACCUUUGAGGAGAAUGGGGACCACUUCAGGGAGGAAUGGAAGCCUGCCGCAUCGGAGUUGCAGCCUCCCAGACAGGCUGUUUCUGACCGUGGGGAUCUGGAGGGAUUUGCAGUGAGAGCUGCACUUGUGGAGCUUUUUAACAGGCCCACCCCUCUCCCCCGUCUCAUUGACGGCCAACCGGCGUACACGGUGAGGCGUAUCCUGAUGGUUCGACCUCGGGGCAGGGGAUUCCAGUACCUGGUUGACUGGGAGGGUUAUGGCCCGGAGGAGAGGUGCUGGGUCUCCGCUAGGGACAUCCUGGACCCAGGCCUCAACGCUGAGUUUCAACGACAGCACCCUGGUCAACCAGGUAUGCA